rnacentral:tRNA from 1 species
GCCGAGGUGGCGGAAUGGUAGACGCGAGGGACUUAAAAUCCCUUAUCCAUACCCGGAUGUGUGGGUUCAAUUCCCACCCUCGGCACCA